rnacentral:snRNA from 1 species
GGAUGUGAGGGCGAUCUGGCUGCGACAUCUGUCACCCCAUUGAUGGGCAGGGUUGAUUCGGCUGAUCUGGCUGGCUAGGCGGGUGUCCCCCUCCUCCCUCACCGACCCAUGUGCGUCCGGAAGCUGCGCGCUCGGUCGAAGAGGAUGACCUUCCCCCCGCCCCAGGAGAGGACCAGUCUUCGGUCAAGGGUAUACGAGUAGCUGCGCUCCCCUGCUAGAACCUCCAAACAAGCUCUCAAGAAGCAAGUACCUUGUAAGCUCAGUUAUUGUUACCAUGGUAACUUAAG